GCCUGUGUGGCAUAGCUGGUAUGUCGGCGGAUUAAAGUUACGUAAUCCGAGUAUGCGUGUUCAAUUCGUGUCGCAGUUG